UUUUAUAUUUACCUCUCUUCAGCUUACUAAGUAAGCUAAGUUUUCUAAUAUAAUAGCGUCAAAGUGUGGAGAACACACUAGACGAUUUCCAUUCAAUCAUCUCUGGUUACAUUCAAGUUGGUUUCAUUCCGCUCUGCCUGAUUAUCACUGGUGCCACCGUCCGCAGUCAGUCCGCCGCCGCCGACGAUAACUCUGGCGAAACCAGGGUUUCAUACGCCUCAAUGAGAGCGACCUAUCCCCGCAAGUCACGCGCUCCAAAAGUCUGCCACGCGCCAUCACGCACAGCUUCCCCACGGCGCCUUUCUUGGAGCGUAUGAUCCACGCGCCAUCUUUUGCCAAUCAGAAUCGUGCUCUGACAGUCCAGAAAGGUUCGCCGGACCUAUCCGGGCCCAGAUGUACUCUCGAAUCUUCAUUAUCUCUCUUCAACGCUGGUGUUUCUUCAGGUUGGGAAAUUUGAAGGUUCCGUUUGUGCGAAUCUUCUGUCUCUGUCUCUUGUUGUGAGGUGGCCUCCACAAAUCCUUCUGGAUCUUCCUCCUCCAUCGUUCCCACUGUCAGUUCUACUGUGGGUCCCACUGUUUUGUUUUCUGGGACACCAGUCAUAACCUCAGAAAAGCUGAAUGGCAGCAAAAACUACUUGUCCUGGUCCUUUUCUGUGGAACUUUGGUUCCUUGGCCAAGGACAUCAAAAGCACUUAGAGAAGCAAGUUACUGAAAUAUCUGCAGAAAAACAAGAACAAUGGAAACAACUUGAUUUCCAGCUUUGUGCCUUGCUGUGGCAGUCAGUAGAGCCAAACAUCUUAGUGACCUUAAGGUCUUUCAAAAUAUGUUACUUCUUUUGGAAGAAGGCCCAACAGAUUUUUGCCAAUGAUAUUCAGAGAUUGUAUGAUGCAGUUGACAAAUUGACCUCUCUUAAACAAACAGAUCAUGAUAUGACCUCAUUUGUAGCACAGUUUAAGUCUGCAGUUGAAGAAUUAAGAAUGUUCCAAGAUGUUGAGUAAGUGGAAGAAAUGAGAAAAAGCAUGAUAACCUGAGAGUGUUGUUAGGUGCACCCAACAUUAUUGUUGAUGCACUCAGCAUUUUUUAAAAAUGGCUAAAUUACCCCUACCUUCUAUAUCCCUUUACGGAUCAAGUUAAUCCGCAAGUUGAUUUUUAAAACUUACGGAUCAAAUUGAUCUGUAAGAAGCUUGCGGAUCAAGUUGAUCCGUAAGUCUUUUAUGAAUCAACUUGAUCCGUAAGUCUUAAAAAUCAACUUGCGGAUCAUCUAUAUCAACUGCGGAUCAACUAAAACCUAUGCGGAUCAACCUGAAUGAGCUGGGUGCACAAAAACAUUUUUAAAAAUACACAGGGGUAUUUUUGCCUUUUCACGUUAAGUGCUAGGUGCAUAGCAAUAAUGUUGGGUGCACCUAGCAACACCCUAACCUGGAUAUGGUGCUGGCCUUUCGGGCCAUGAACCCAGAUUUUGAUCAUAUUCGUGAUUAAGUUUUGACUAAUCAAGAAGUUCCCUCAAUGGAGAGUCUUCUUGCACAUCUCCUUCAUGUUCCUAAUCCAAGAAAGAAUGAAAAUUCACUUGAGCUUACUGAAUCUUCAGCAAUGGUGUCCAAUCGAGGAAGAGGAGGUCGUGGAAAUCGUGGACGUGGAGGACAUGGUGGUGGAAGAAAUGGUUAGCUUUAUUGCACACUUUGUAAGAUAAAGGGCCACACUCGAGACUCCUGCGAUAUAGUUGGUUGGCAUGAGAAAACAACAAAUGUCUCCACAUCGAAAACACAUGGGCCAAAGUUUUCUUACGAGGAGUAUCAAGAGUACCUCUGACUGAAGUUUAACAGUCAGGCUCAAUCAUGCUCAUGCCCAAGUACUUAAAAAGCUUGCAUCGCUCACUCUGUGGAUGGUCAAGAUCCAAGGGAACGUGAUACAAGUUGGUUGAUUGGCGUAGAACAUGAAUCCAGAGGUCUCUACUAUUUGGAAAUCAGUUCAUCAAUGUCUUGAUUUGCGACUCCGUCUCCUAAGCUUUUGCACAAUCACUUGGGUCAUCCACACUUGUUGAAGCUGAAGAUGGUUCCUAGUCUCAACAAACUUCAAGUCUUAGAGUGUGAGUCAUGUCAGUUAGGAAAACAUGUUAGGUUUUUUCCAAAAAGAACUGAAACAAGAUGUAGCUCUGUUUUUUCCACCAUUCCCUCUGAUAUUUGGGGUCCAAGCUGUGUCACAUCUUUUGGUUUCAGAUAUUUUGUUACCUUUAUUGAUGAAUAUUCCAAAUGUACUUGGGUUUAUUUAAUGAAAGAUCAAUCUGAACUUUUGUCUAUAUUUAUGUCUUUUUUUAAUGAAAUCAAGACCCAAUUUGGAAAAGUGAUUAACAUUCUCAACAGUGAUAAUGCCAAAGAGUAUUUCUCCUCUAAUCUCUCUUCAUUGAUGGAAAUCUGAUUUCUUGGAAGAGCAAAAAACAGAACGUUGUUGCUUGGUCUAAUGCAGAAGUUGAGUAUAGAGCAAUGGCCUCAACUACUUGUGAACUUAUGUGGAUCAAGCAAGUUCUUCAGGAACUUAAGUUUUGUGAAGUUCAGCAGAUGCAGCUCUAUUGUGAUAAUCAGGAAGCGCUUCAUAUUGCCUCUAAUCCAGUAUUUCAUGAAAGAAUCAAGCACAUAGAAGUUGACCUCCACUUUGUUCGAGAGAAGCUAAUGGCUAAGGAAAUUAGUACAGAAAAAAAUUGGCUCUAAUGAUCAACUCGCAGAUAUUUUGACUAAGUCAUUAAGGGGGCCUAGGAUUCAAUUUUUGUGUUCCAAGCUUGGCGCCUAUAAUUUAUAUGCUUCAGCAAGUUCAGCUUGAGGGGGAAUGUUGGAAAAUAGUUCAUGAUGUACCUAGAGUGGUAGCUUACAUUUUAUUUUUGUCUUUUGUAUACCUGCUGUACCAGCUCUGUAUUUUGUACUUACCUCUCUUCAGCUUACUGAGUAAGCUUAGUUUGCUAAUAUAAUAGAACCUAAGUGUGGAGAACACAUUAGAGGAUUUUCAUUCAA